rnacentral:rRNA from 1 species
CCUACGGGAGGCAGCAGUGGGGAAUAUUGGGCAAUGGGCGCAAGCCUUACCCAGCAAUACCGCGUGAGUGAAGAAGGUCUUCGGAUUGUAAAGCUCUUUGAUCAGGGACGAACAGAUGACGGUACCUGAAGAACAAGCCCCGGCUAACUACGUGCCAGCAGCCGCGGUAAAACGUAGGGGGCGAGCGUUGUCCGGAAUGACUGGGCGUAAAGAGUUCGUAGGCGGCACGUAAAGUCUGGUGUUAAAGGCAGAGGCUCAACUUCUGUACGGCACUGGAUACUUGCGAGCUAGAAUGCGGUAGAGGUAAAGGGAAUUCCUGGUGUAGCGGUGAAAUGCUUAGAUAUCAGGAGGAACAUCGGUGGCGUAAGCGCUUUACUGGGCCGUAAUUGACGCUGAGGAACGAAAGCCAGGGUAGCAAAUGGGAUUAGAUACCCCGGUAGUC